CGUGUCGUGAGAUGUUGGGUUAAGUCCCGCAACGAGCGCAACCCUUGUCUCUAGUUGCUACGCAAGAGCACUCUAGAGAGACUGCCGGUGACAAACCGGAGGAAGGUGGGGAUGACGUCAAGUCCUCAUGGCCCUUAUGGGUAGGGCUUCACACGUCAUACAAUGGUGCGUACAGAGGGUUGCCAACCCGCGAGGGGGAGCUAAUCCCAGAAAACGCAUCGUAGUCCGGAUCGUAGUCUGCAACUCGACUACGUGAAGCUGGAAUCGCUAGUAAUCGCGGAUCAGCAUGCCGCGGUGAAUACGUUCCCGGGUCUUGUACACACCGCCCGUCACACCAUGGGAGUGGGUUUUGCCAGAAGUAGUUAGCCUAACCGCAAGGAGGGCGAUUACCACGGCAGGGUUCAUGACUGGGGUG
rnacentral:rRNA from 1 species